rnacentral:rRNA from 1 species
UACGUAGGGUGCAAGCGUUAUUCGGAAUUACUGGGCGUAAAGCGUGCGUAGGCGGUUCUUUAAGUCCGUUGUGAAAGCCCCGGGCUCAACCUGGGAAUGGCAAUGGAAACUGGCGGGCUGGAGUAUGGCAGAGGAGGGUGGAAUUCCGCGUGUAGCAGUGAAAUGCGUAGAGAUGCGGAGGAACACCGAUGGCGAAGGCAGCCCCCUGGGCCAAUACUGACGCUCAGGCACGAAAGCGUGGGGAGCAAACAGG